CUGCUGGCAGAGUUAAGGCGGUUGGAAGUAGGGUGGGCCUACCGUGUCUGUAUGCCCCUUCCCAGAGCCUCCAGUACUACCCAACCUUCCCCAUAUGCCUUCCCUGCUCUUUUAAAGGUGGCCGUUGAGCCCAAGUCCUCAUGACCCAGAGAGGGGAGGCAUUUGCCCAAGUCCACCCAGGUAAUCUGCCAUCUCCACCAUCCCUCCCUUGGUCCACCACCAGGUCUCAGUCUCACCCAGUCUGUGAGCUGCAACACUUGUAGAAUGAGCUUCAGCCAGCUUGUGAGUGAGAAAUGCUCCCAGUGGUCCCUGGCCCAACACCCUUUGCUAAAAAAUGCAGAGCACUAAGAGGAACAAACUGGGCUGAUGAGUCUAACAGUUCUGGAGGAAGAACAGGAACUGAAGACAGCUGGGCGGGGCAGGGAUGCUUCUUGCCUGAGGCCAAGAACAAGCUAGAGUACUGUGGAUUGAACCCAAGGCUAGUUAAAUGCUCUUACCACUGAACUACAUCCCCAGCCAGAAGUCUGUGCUUGGAAGACCUCCCCUAUUGUGAUAUCCAAGAAAGUGAGGAUAAAGCCCACCAAAACAGGUGGCUCAUCUGGAUCCUUCAGGCCACUCAAGACAGCACUGAAUGGGAGCCAAUGAACUGUGGUUCCUGAGCCUGGCUUUGAAGAAGCUGACCAGAAAGGCUGUGACCUCAACCUUGAAUCAUGCUACCUCUUCCCUAGUCCCUCAUGGCUGCAGCUUCCCUGAGAAGAGACAGGGCUUUUUAUGCCUCUUAGACUUCUCUCCCUUCAUUCCCCACCCACCAUUACCACUCUUCCUCCUCCCUACACCUCCGCUCACCUGUGCACACAGGACUGCAGAACUGCAGAAAUGAGCAGCGUGUUCAGUUCAGGACUUCAGGCUUGAUGACCCACCCACAGAGUUUGUUUCCUCUGCUGGGAGGUGGGAUACCUUUUUCAUCUCCGAAGGCUGCAAGAAUAAAAUCAGCAAACAUGAAA